GACGAACGCUGGCGGCGUGCCUAAUACAUGCAAGUCGAGCGAAUCAAUAGGAGCUUGCUCCUGUUGGUUAGCGGCGGACGGGUGAGUAACACGUGGGCAACCUGCCUGUAAGACUGGGAUAACACCGGGAAACCGGUGCUAAUACCGGAUAAUCCUUUCCCUCUCAUGAGGGGAAGUUGAAAGUCGGUUUCGGCUGACACUUACAGAUGGGCCCGCGGCGCAUUAGCUAGUUGGUGAGGUAACGGCUCACCAAGGCGACGAUGCGUAGCCGACCUGAGAGGGUGAUCGGCCACACUGGGACUGAGACACGGCGCAGACUCCUACGGGAGGCAGCAGUAGGGAAUCUUCCACAAUGGACGAAAGUCUGAUGGAGCAACGCCGCGUGAGCGAUGAAGGCCUUCGGGUCGUAAAGCUCUGUUGUUAGGGAAGAACAAGUACCGGAGUAACUGCCGGUACCUUGACGGUACCUAACCAGAAAGCCACGGCUAACUACGUGCCAGCCGCCGCGGUAACAC
rnacentral:rRNA from 1 species